rnacentral:rRNA from 1 species
UACAGAGGGCGCGAGCGUUAGGCGGAAUCACUGGGCUUAAAGCGUGUGUAGGCGGAUCGUUAAGUGCCUUGUGAAAUCCCACGGCUCAACCGUGGAACUGCUUGGCAUACUGGCGGUCUUGAGCAACCUAGGGGCGAGCGGAACAAAUGGUGGAGCGGUGAAAUGCGUAGAUAUCAUUUGGAACGCCAAUGGUGAAAACAGCUCGCUGGGGGUUUGCUGACGCUGAGACACGAAAGCCAGGGGAGCAAACGGG